rnacentral:lncRNA from 10 species
AGAAAGAAGCAGGGGAAAGGGUUUGAGAAUGACUGGGGAGCACAUUACUGUGGAUGGGGUGCACAGGGAAGCCUCUUUGAGGGGAGAUCUUACUUGAAUGAAAUCUUCCUUGAAAUUUCAAUAUUUAAAAUAGCUUAAGGCCUGUCUCAGUGGUUCAUGCCUGUAAUCCCAACACUUUGGGAACCUGAGGUGGGUGGAUCGCCUGUGGCCAGGAGUUCGAGAGCAGCCUGGCCAAUAUGGCGAAACCCCGUCUCUACUAAGAAUGCAAAAAAUAUUAGCCGGGUGUGGUGGCGGGUGCCUGUAAUCCAGCUAUUCUGGAGGCUGAGGCAUAAGAAUCGCUUGAACCUGGGAGGCAGAGGUUGCAGUGAGCUGAGAUCACGCCACUGCACUCCAGCCUGGGCGACAGAGUGAAUCUCAGUCUUAAAAAAAAUAGCUUAAAAGGGGAACUACUCUGCAGGGAGAGAGGAAAAACAAGGGUGAUUGUCAUAGAGUCCUCUAGGAAGGCUGUGCCGAAGACUGCAUUUCAGCUGAGCACUGAAAGGGGCUUCAGGGACUAUGGAUGACUCCACUGAGAAUAAGGAUAAGAUGCUGGGCUCCAGAGGAGGCAAAUGGUAAAUGAGUGGUGGCUGCUGUCUGAGGGACAGAGGGUUACCCAUAUGGUAUUCCUAGAAUUCCACUAGAAGCAACCCUGGAGCCCACUUCUGAAAAUGGGCAGGAGUUACUCGGAAGGGGCUGUCCCACUCCAUUCAGGAUGCUACACAUCUGGGCCAUGACCAUAUCUCUACUUCAAGCCCUGCGUUCUGACAACUGCAUCAUCUUUUGUGAAAUAGCCAUGACAGGAUUUGCUAAUUUUCCUUUUCAAAAUGUUCUUCUUUAGGAAAAAAAAGUAACUUUAGGGUAAUCACCUCAAUGAGCGUAUGAAAAAAAGUUUAAUGGCCAAUGAACCUAAAAAUCUUGGCCCAUUCCCCAGGUCACACAAACCUUUACUCCAUGAAAUUUACUCAGUGGGUCAGAAACCAGAAGGCCAUGACAAGGAGAUCUCUGUAUUGCUUAACCUACUUGCUGUUGAAAAUAGACACUUAUGUUUCUGUGGCUCUCUUAAUAAUGAUAAUGGUAAUGAUGAUAAUAAUAAUAAUAAAUAAUGUUAAAGAAUAAAU